UACUUGAUCUUGACAUAUCCCACUUGGAUAACUGUGGUAAAUUCUAGAGCUAAUACAYGCACCAAAGCUCCGACUUUUGGACGAGCGCAUCUAUUAGAUUAAAACCAAUCGGGCUUCACGGCCCGUCAAUUGGUGACUCUGAAUAGCUAUGGCUGAUCGCAUGGUCUUGUACCGGCGACGUAUCUAUCAAGUGUCUGCCUUAUCAACUUUCGAUGGUAGUUUAUGUGCCUACCAUGGUUGUAACGGGUAACGGAGAAUAAGGGUUCGACUCCGGAGAGGGAGCCUGAGAAACGGCUACCACAUCCAAGGAAGGCAGCAGGCGCGCAAAUUACCCACUCUCGGCAUGAGGAGGUAGUGACGAAAAAUAACGAGACCGUUCUCUUUGAGGCCGGUUAUCGGAAUGGGUACAAUUUAAACCCGUUAACGAGGAUCUAUGAGAGGGCAAGUCUGGUGCCAGCAGCCGCGGUAAUUCCAGCUCUCAAAGUGUAUAUCGUCAUUGCUGCGGUUAAAAAGCUCGUAGUUGGAUCUGCGUCUCAGGACCUGGUCCGUCCAUUGGACGUGAACUGGGCUCCUAGGCUAGUUUGGCCAGUUUUCUCUACGUUACCUUGAUCGGUUGCGUAGGGUGAUUGGCGAGUUUACCUUGAAAAAAUUAGAGUGCUCAAUGCGGGCUAAUGCCUGAAUACUCGUGCAUGGAAUAAUGAAAUAGGAUCUCGGUUCUAUUUUGUUGGUUUUCUGAUCUGAGAUAAUGGUUAAGAGGGACGGACGGGGGCAUUCGUAUCGCUGC
rnacentral:rRNA from 1 species